CCUCUAGCUGCUUCCUUAGCAGUGCUUUGUACAUAAUAAUAGCUUAUUCUAUUUUUCCCACUGGGGAGGCAGAAAAUAAAGUUAAUAUCAUCCUUCUAUCAGAAACAUUAAGGCAAAUUCAUUCAUUCUGAAAUCUUAUUCCUGGUGUAUGUGAAGUUGGGGGUUAGAUAUGGAAUACAGAGGAAAUGAAUAUAGAGAAAGUAAUUAAUAUUGCUUUAUAAUUUUUUCAUAUAUAUAUUUCUAUAUACAUAAAAUAUGUAUAACAUACUUGGCCAAAAACAUUGUUCCAGCAUCAUUAAUUCUUUAGAGGAAGGCAUUUUAUUUACAUAGUGAGGAAGCCAGAAUUCUCCUAUAUUGGUUGCACUAAGAGUUCAUGUCCAGCACUAACAUAAACUCAGGAUAUGGACAAACAUGGCUGACGGGACCGUAAGAGUAUCUAGGAGAAAGCUAAACUGCAACGACAACCUGAGUAAUGUGAGUUUUCAUCCAGGUCACCCAUAUAAGAUCUAAAACCUAGAAUAUUUGGCCUAAGUUAGGGGAAGGAACAAAGUUCACAUGACAAUACUUUAAAAGAUGUGACAGACAAUUUGAUUGUGUUCUUUUACAUCUUAACCUUUAUACAAAGGAGUUUUGUCAUUAUAGCAAUUCAAAGAAAGAAAAACAACUAGAAUGGACAUAAUUGAACAGAAAUCGGAGAGGAGAGGUUUACUUAUAGGUGAAUAGUUUAAACAGAAUUUAAACAGUUUAUCAGUAAGUAUUCUUGUCAGCAGACUGUUCUGAAACUUCUUGGCACAGAUUUUUCCCUGUUCUCUUCCUGCUGCCUCCUAUUAGAUAGCUUCCUCUUCUUUAUCCAGACAACUACUCCCUACAGCCUCUUUCUUUGCUUUGCUCAUUGGAUGGUGUGUAUUUCUUCUAAAGAGAUUACACUGGAGACUUGUUUCAUUCACCUUCUAGGCACAUGACAUGACUUUCACCUUUAGCGAGCUUUCAUAAUGCUUUUAGCUGUGGAAAGUUACACAAACUAAUUUAUGUCUAAGGAAGCAAAUAGAUUAACUUAAUGCCCUACAAAGGAUAUUAUAUGGCAUUCAAAGGCAUUCUUCAACAACAUUAGGAAGACAAUUUAAAAAUGAAUCUUCCCAUUUCAGGGAAGGCUAUGAUUUUAUUCAAAUGAAAUUUGGUACAUUAUCUAUCCAAUGGAGAUCUCCAGGAUUUGGAAUUGCAUACUGUAGUUAGUGUUAACCUUCAUUUAAUGACAAUCAGCCAAUGCAGAAAAUGGGAAAAUAGGGAUGGCAUUUUAUGUGGCUUGAUAUUUUUGUGUUGGAAGACACUGUUUUCAAUCAACAGGUGUGGUCUUCUAGGUCUGUUCUUACAAGAACUUCUGGCUGCUGUCCAGGUUACUCAUAAGCUGCACCUGUCAGACACCAAAGUCUUCCAUCUACCCCUCGAAGAGAAAAAGAGAGUGAGUAAGAGUGUUUUGACUCUUUCAUUCUUUUAUGAGUUUCAAUUUAAAAUGUUUAUUUUAUUCACACAGAGGCCCAGAUUUCUUUCAGAGAACAAACUCAUUACCAAUGUCAGAACUCGCAAAACCUGCUGUUGGGUCUGAAACACACAAGUUUACCUAUCAGCUUCCUCCCCCGCCUCCUACACCCACCCACUUUCAACCUGUUUCCAAUAUACACCAAACCUUCUCAUAGAGCUUUGGCAGGGACCUGCUUUAUGCAUUGCUGUAGUUCAAACAGAGCAGAACAACAAACAAAGAAUCUUUUUCCCGCACGUAACCAUGAGUGGGGAAAAUUAUUCCCCUAAAGGACACACCCUGAAAAACAACAGUAAAGAAGAUGGAAUAAAGCGAACAGAUUACUGCUUAAAAGCUCACACACCCUACCACAUUUAAACUUUUCCCUCUCUUGCUGAGCAGCAUUUUUUGUGUUGUAGCCUUAUCUUUGUCAGUAAAUUUUCCAGUGGCAUUCCAAAAAAAAAAAAAAAAAAAAAAAAAAAAAAAGCACAAGAUCAGACAUUGGAGAAGAGAUGCUGUAAGUUAUAAAGAAUAAAAGGGACAAUAGAAAUGCAUUUCUGUAAGUAAAAUCUUUAGUUCUACAUUUGGCUUAUGAUCUCAAAGAAACUACAGUUUCAUAGAGAACAGAGAACAUAUGUCCAACGUAUCAUGUAGCUCAUUUUCCCACCCCUAACAGAUCAAUACCGAUGGGAUUUAUUCUUAUAGCCCCUGGACAGAGUUGAUCCAGUACCUUUUUUUCUACAUUUUUUCUUCUGGUGAUCCCAUCUUAUAAAAAUCCUCUGGCUUCUGACAAGUGUUCCAAAUUCAACUGGAUAGCAGCUUUAGUCGAAUUCAUCUGUCAUAGACACUGAAAGGCAUUUUUGUGUCUUGUCUUCGGUAAAAUAUGUUGCCAGGAUGGUGGCUGGUGGCACCAUGUCAAGUUUCCUGCCUUUUGCCUUCAAGUCCCUACCUUUGGCCAUACUCUAAUUUGAGCAGUUGAACAGCCACCAGCACAGCCACCAGCUGACCAGCAGUGACCUCUGGACUGAAGUUGUUUUGAAGAUAACAAUGGAAUAUGAAUUGCAAGAGAGAAACUCCAUUGUAACCUUUUCUAAAGACAACUCCGUUUUCAAUUUGGUCUCAACAUGAUGCUACAAGAGUGGUCAUGUUGGGAAAAAGCCCCGACUAUCUCAGCAACUCAAAUUCCUUGACAUAAACCGUCUGGUGGAAGGACAACCUCCAGUGAUGCUUGGUUUCCAAACAAACUUUCCAUUGUUCUGAAUAAGGAAACUUGAAGCAUCUACUAGCAUUUUCCAUCUAUUAUCUCCUAGAAUCAGUGCCCACAGCUUUCCCUUAGGUAUUCCUAGGACUAGAUUUAGAAACUUCUCCUGGUUUGGCUAUCUCUCCUGUGUACUGUCAGUGCAAUAAUUUUAAUGGGUAUAAACACACCUGGAGGCCAACAGAGCCUCUCCCAAUUCCCUGUUCCUCUUUGGCUGUCUGCCCAAGGAGCUGACAAUGAUGACCUCAAACAUAGUGUGACACUUGACUUCACCUUUUUUUUUCUUUUUAAUUAUCUGAAGAAAUGUCUGUUUAUCUCUAAACACAUUGUGUUUUCAUAGCCUCAUCAUUUGGAACACCUGGUUAACUGUUACAAAAUCCAUAAUGUAAGUUACAAGUGGGUAUUUGGCUAUGAGCUAAGUCUGUUUUCUUUCCUUUCUUUCAUUCUUUUUUUCCUUUCUUUCUCACAUAUUUGUUUAGGACUUAUUGUGUGCUAAGGAUAGCCAUCAGUAUUUGUGACAGAGAAAUGGUUACAUAAGAUCCUGCCUUUGAACUUAUGGUUAAGAAAGAGGAGAAAUGUGAAAAGACAAUAUUGAACAAUAUUAUAUUUGCUGUAACAGCAAUAUCAAUACGGGCUUGUGGGAAGACAAGCUCUCCCUGGUAAAAACCUUCAGAGGGAAGUUUGCAUUUGAGUUGGCCGUGAGCAUGGCCUGGCUUUGACUUGCUUCCCCAGUUGAUUAGCAGAGUUCAGGAGCUGCCCCGAAGGAUCCUCAAACUUAAAGUCCAUCUCCAGGAAACAUAUUACUUUCCUAGAACCUAAUACCAAAGUUUGACAUCUCUUUGUAGAGAAAUUAAUAGUAAUUUUCUUUCCAGCAAUAUGACUUGUCUUUAUGCAAAUGAUCAAAAUCUUGAAGGGAUGCCUUAUCCAAUUUAAAGACAAAAGUCAGUAUGUCUUGAGAGUGUCCUGUAAAUGACAUUUGAAAAAAAGUAAAACCCAUAUUACUAUGUUUCUUAUAUGUCAUGCUAAGCAAUUUGAAAUUUCUGCUUUAAAAAGUAUUUAAGUCCAACAGAAGUUUUUAGUCAGGUUUUCAGUUCUUCCUUUACUAAUGAAUGGCAAAUAUCAAAACUUGUUUUGUCAAGAAUUGGUAAUUUCAGCAGAUGCCUGGCACAAAAUAGGAGCUUAAUAUACAUAUUUUUGAAUUAAUAAGCAAUCACAUAAUAUUUAUGUACCAACUCUGGUUAGCCAGAUAUGUGCUGUGUGUUUCAUCUUUUGUUUCAUAUAAAUUUGAUUUCUGCACUGCCCUAAAUCAAGAUUCCUAAAAUCAUUUUUUUAAUAUCUCACAACACAAGUAAUAUGAAUCUUAUCCUUCA
rnacentral:lncRNA from 1 species